CCACCGAUCUGUGCCCUGUGCCUGUGAGCUCAGUUUACCUUUUCAGAUUCCGCAUAGCAACGAGCUCACACCGUCUUGGUCUUUCUCUGACCGAUUUCACUUCACCGACGAAUGUCGAUUGAUUUUGAAUUCCUUUUUAUUGCGGCGAAAGAAGCAUAGCCUCAAAUUUACCAUCUUAGCCGUCUCUAAGGCCCAGUUCUGUGCCCUUGAGCGCCUUCCCGUUGUGCAACCAUCAGCGCCGUCCAGACACGGAAUAGGAGGCCGGCUUUUUUUGAGGGUCCGGUUCUCCCCCCCGGGGUUGGCGGCGUACGGGGAUGAGCACGUCUCGGAAGGACCUUCUUGAGAAGACGCUCAGAGGGAAGAUGGUGCCGAAGAAGCUGCCGGUCAGAGCACGUGUGCUCCCCGCGUGGGUCCAGCUCGAGGGCCGAGCCCGUUCCAGGACAGCCCAGAGCCUUGUGGGGGGGGAUCGUCCUCCUCCUGUUGCCGUGGCGACGCGUGGACCCCCCCCCCCCUUGGGGCCAGGCCGGGGUGCCCGUCUGCCAGCAGAUGGCGGCGUGGGGCAGCUUAUGGGAGCUCCGUCCAGGCCGUGGAUGGACAGGAGUCACCCCCCAGUGGAUGUCUUUGUCCCUGUCAAGGUUACGUCUCCUGAGAACAAGUGCAAAGUGCAAAGUGCAAAAGCAUCGAGUCACCAUUUCCCCCCCCCCGUAAAGGGCGAAUGCAAAUUAGGGAUAAGAGGAAUAAUUGUCUCUGCUGUAAAUAAGCAGAGAGAACCCCACCCACCUCCCACUUCUUGGAGCGUUCACUUCAGCGAGUUCUUUCUCGGUCAGCUCCAGAGGUCUGUAAAUCUUUUAAAGCAAGACUCUGGCCAGGCCCACAGCUCGGGUGUGUGUCCUCCAGGACCCGGGAGCAUCUCUGAGACUCGUCCCCCCCGGGACCUGGGAGCAUCCCAUCCGGGGAAUGCCACCAGCUCAAAAGGUCGUGGCUGCAUUUGUGGAGUCACACACAGGAUCUGGGCAGGGACCCUGAUGCCGGGACGCGGGAGCCGCGGACACAGAACAAGGGGCAGCUCAGCGUGGGGUCGGGGCCGGGGGCUGGUCGGCCGCAUGGAAGUCCAUUCUUGCUUGCACACUCUGUGCUUCUCCAAUGGCUGGAAAACAGUCGGAUGCCUCAUCCCGCUGGAACCUGGCAGCCCCUUUGUGCGCUGAGUCACAGAUCCCGGGGUCCAGGGCCUCGGGCUGCAGAGCGCUUGCUGUCUGCCUGCGGCUCCCCCUUCUCGAGCCCGUGCCGGCCCCUCCAAGGACCCAGGGUAACUUCCACUUACAGUCGUGCCCAUGGCUCACGCGGUCACCGAGCCCCCGAGUCCUGCCGUGAGACUCGCCCGGGACCUGGUUGUAAAAACGUGCCAGCCAGGCGGGCUCUGUCUCCACGACAGGGCCCUGCACUCACGGCCGGACGCCCACCCCUCUGGCAAGAGGUUUUCUGCCCCUGGGAAGAAUUUGUGGGGUCAACCAUGGUGUCAAAUCCCCACUGAGUGUUUCUGCACGUGGCAGGUGACGCUUGGGGUUUCUGGUCUCUGAAAAUAGGUUUUCUGUAACCAAGCGGUGUGUGUGCAUGUGUGUUGGGGCGUGUGCACGCAUAUGUGUUUGCAUACAUGUGUGCAUGUGUCUAUGUAUACGUUUGUGUGUGCAUGUGUGUUUGCAUGUUGUGUAUGUAUCUGUGCAUACAUGUGUCUUUCUCUAUGUGUAUUUGUGAAUGCAUGCAUGUUUGUAUAUGUGUAAGCAUGUGCCCUCGUAUAUGUGUGUGUGUAUGAAUGCAUGUGUGUUGAAUGUGAGUGCAUGUGUGAAUGCACACGUUUGUGCAUGUGCAUAUUUGCAAAUGCAUGCAUGUUGUAUAUGUGCAUAUUUGUGAAUGCAUGCGUGUUAGUGUAUGCUUGCAUUUGUGAAUACACGUGUGUUGUAUGUGUGUAUGAACCUGUGUGUAUGUGUGAUUUUUUUUUGUGCAUGGUGCUUAUGUUGCUGCAUGCAUCUUUGAGUACGUGUGUUUGCGUAUGCAUGUGUAUUUGUGUAUGCAACUGUGUAUGUGCAUGUGUGUGCACAUGUUUUUGUGUGGGUACGUGUGUGAGCAGAUGUCUGUGCAUGGACAUGCAUGCACAUGUGUGUUUGUGUGUGCACACUCCUGUGUUUGCAUGCACGCACAUGUGUGUUUGUGUGUGCACACUCCUGUGUUUGCAUGCACGCACAUGUGUGUUUGUGUGUGCACACUCCUGUGUUUGCAUGCACGCACGUGUGUGUUUGUGUGUGCACACUCCUGUGUUUGCAUGCACGCACGUGUGUGUUUGUGUGCACACUCCUGUGUUUGCAUGCACGCACGUGUGUGUUUGUGUGCACACUCCUGUGUUUGCAUGCACGCACGUGUGUGUUUGUGUGUGCACACUCCUGUGUUUGCAUGCAUGCACGUGUGUGUUUGUGUGUGCACACUCCUGUGUUUGCAUGCAUGCACGUGUGUGUUUGUGUGUGCACACUCCUGUGUUUGCAUGCACGCACGUGUGUGUUUGUGUGUGCACACUCCUGUGUUUGCAUGCAUGCACGUGUGUGUUUGUAUGUAUAUAUGCACAUGUGUGUACAUAUGUGGGGGCACCUGCAGGUCCCCUCCCUCUGCCCGGGGCGGUUGGUGGGCAGGAGCCGGGUGCGUCCAGCCCUUGCUGGAGCCCGGCCGUGUGGGAGGGGAGAGAGGGCCGCGUCCAUGGUGCAGAGAAGCACGGCCGGCCCCCCGACGUCUGUGCACCCCCAGGCUCCGCCCCCCCAUGUGUGACCCUGACCACCACCCCAGGGCCCUGGAGCCGAGCUCCGUGGGCACCACAGUGUUUCCCAGAGGGGUUCGUGAUCUGAUCUAAUUUCGGAAAUCUGCACCCUCUCCUCCCCGACGUUCGCAGUACGUAUGAGCGUGGUGUCAACAUCCCCCACACGUCUUUGAGCGAGGAACCUUUGAAUGCUUCAUGAUAACGACCAAGAAAACUCCCCGGGUCCAGGCAGGCUGCGACGGCCCGGGUUUGCAGCCAGGAGCAUCCGUCAGGCCAGCUCGGAGGGACUCGGACUGCGUGACCGCCGUCGAUGGCGCCUGCAAACAAAACGGGGAUGCAGGGUGGAAAGAGAAAUUAAAUUAAAGCACUGGCCCUGAGCUAACAUCCAUGCCCAUUUUCCUCUACUUUAUACGUGGGACGCCUACCACAGCACGGCUUGCCAAGCGGUGCCGUGUCUACACCUGGGAUCCGAACCAGUGAACCCCGGGCCGCCGAGAAGCAGAAUGUGCAAACUUAACCACAGCACCACCGGGCCCGCCCCUCUAAUUUUAAAAUGAAUGUCUGGCUCUUGCCUCGGGGUCUCCUUGGGGGGCCCUAACAGAGGUGCAUUUUGGGGCCCCCAGUCCCUCUGCUCAUGUGAAUUAUGCAAGAAAUCUCCC
rnacentral:lncRNA from 1 species